GGCUUCUGUGCUUGUUGUCACUCUCAGAAACAGCAAAUACUCUCCAAAACACCCUCCCAAGGAUUUGCUACACCUGGAGUGGGAACACAGAGAAGAGGGAGUCCACUCCUGCCAGUUUGGAGCCUACCAGGAUGCCUUUGGCAAAGGAGCCAGAGGUGCUGCCAGGAAAACCUCCUGGCCUCCCUGCAGUGCCAAACUGAAACGUUUUCAAGCUUGAUUUCCUUCAGUUGAUUCACUUUGCUAAGCCAACUGGUG